UACGUAGGGUCCGAGCGUUGUCCGGAUUUAUUGGGCGUAAAGAGCUCGUAGGCGGCUCAGUAAGUCGGAUGUGAAAACUCGGGGCUCAACCCCGAGACGCCAUCCGAUACUGCUGUGGCUUGAAUCUGGUAGGGGAGCACGGAAUUCCUGGUGUAGCGGUGAAAUGCGCAGAUAUCGGGAGGAACACCGGUGGCGAAGGCGGCGACCUGGGUAGAUACUGACGCUGAGGUGCGAAAGCGUGGGGAGCAAACAGG
rnacentral:rRNA from 1 species